rnacentral:miRNA from 2 species
GCUAGAGGUGGCAACUGCAUA